GGGGCUGAUUCUGGAUUCGACGGGAUUUGCGAAACCCAAGGUGCAUGCCGAGGGCGGUUGGCCUCGUAAAAAGCCGCAAAAAAUAGUCGCAAACGACGAAAACUACGCUUUAGCAGCUUAAUAACCUGCUUAGAGCCCUCUCUCCCCUAGCCUCCGCUCUUAGGACGGGGAUCAAGAGAGGUCAAACCCAAAAGAGAUCGCGUGGAAGCCCUGCACGGGUUGAAGCGUUAAAACUUAAUCAGGCUAGUUUGUUAGUGGCGUGUCCGUCCGCAGCUGGCAAGCGAAUGUAAAGACUGACUAAGCAUGUAGUACCGAGGAUGUAGGAAUUUCGGACGCGGGUUCAACUCCCGCCAGCUCCACCA
rnacentral:tmRNA from 1 species